UACGUAGGGUGCAAGCGUUGUCCGGAAUUAUUGGGCGUAAAGAGCUCGUAGGCGGUUUGUUGCGUCGGCUGUGAAAUCCCGAGGCUCAACCUCGGGUCUGCAGUCGAUACGAGCAAACUAGAGUGUUGCAGGGGAGACUGGAAUUCCUGGUGUAGCGGUGAAAUGCGCAGAUAUCAGGAGGAACACCGGUGGCGAAGGCGGGUCUCUGGGCCGAUAUUGACGCUGAGACGCGAAAGCGUGGGGAGCAAACAGG
rnacentral:rRNA from 1 species